rnacentral:rRNA from 1 species
UACGUAGGGUGCGCGCGUUAAUCGGAAUUACUGGGCGUAAAGCGUGCGCAGGCGGUUUUGUAAGUCAGAUGUGAAAUCCCCGGGCUUAACCUGGGAACUGCGUUUGAAACUACAAGGCUAGAGUGUGGCAGAGGGGGGUGGAAUUCCACGUGUAGCAGUGAAAUGCGUAGAGAUGUGGAGGAACACCGAUGGCGAAGGCAGCCCCCUGGGUUAACACUGACGCUCAGGCAAGAAAGCGUGGGGAGCAAACAGGAUGAGAUAACCCAGUAGUCC